AAGUCUAAAGGCACAGGGGAGGAGCAAUUGCUUGGCCACUCCCAGAGCUGUUCUCUGCUGAGAGCUGAGCUGGUUUCCUGCACCACAAGCUUACACUGACAUACAAGGUCUUGCCGCAGGUCCAAAGCUCUGUGGCCAGCUGACCACGUACUGAUACCUCAAAGCGAGCCAACAUGGCGCCUCUCACUGCAAGUUGACUCAUCUCAGGUAUUCAAUACAGUAACAGAAGUUUAACACACCUUUCAGUUCCCUAAAAAGGAGAACUAGUUUGAGUGACUAGCAACAAUUCACAGGACGCUGUUGGUGAAGUACUCCCUCCAAGGUUGUUGGUAUGGCCGCACUUCUUCUUGCGGCAGUUGACUGCACGAGGGUGCAGGCGUGCGUAGCACUUGCGGCAGAUCAUCUUGUCACAGUUGUACUUCUGGGCAAGCUGACGAAG
rnacentral:misc_RNA from 1 species